UUUCCGGUUGAUCCCGCCGGAGGUCACUGCUAUCGGUGUUCGACUAAGCCAUGCGAGUCAAAUGUUCUUCGUGAACAUGGCGUACUGCUCAGUAACACGUGGAUAACCUGCCCUUAGGACUGGCAUAACCCCGGGAAACUGGGGAUAAUUCCGGAUAGUUCAUGGUAGCUGGAAUGCUCCAUGAUCGAAAGCUAUUGCGCCUAAGGAUGGGUCUGCGGUCUAUCAGGUAGUAGUGGGUGUAAUGUACCUACUAGCCGACGACGGAUACGGGUUGUGGGAGCAAGAGCCCGGAGAUGGAUUCUGAGACAUGAAUCCAGGCCCUACGGGGCGCAGCAGGCGCGAAAACUUUACAAUGCGGGAAACCGCGAUAAGGGGACACCGAGUGCCAGCAUCUUAUGUUGGCUGUCCGCAUGUAUAAAUCACAUGUGUUAGCAAGGGCCGGGCAAGACCGGUGCCAGCCGCCGCGGUAACACCGGCGGCCCGAGUGGUGGCCACUAUUAUUGGGUCUAAAGGGUCCGUAGCCGGUUUGGUCAGUCUUCCGGGAAAUCUGACGGCUUAACCGUUAGGCUUUCGGGGGAUACUACCAGGCUUGGGACCGGGAGAGGUAAGAGGUACUACGGGGGUAGGAGUGAAAUCUUGUAAUCCUCGUGGGACCACCAGUGGCGAAGGCGUCUUACCAGAACGGGUCCGACGGUGAGGGACGAAAGCUGGGGGCACGAACCGGAUUAGAUACCCGGGUAGUCCCAGCCGUAAACUAUGCUCGCUAGGUGUCAGGGACGGUGCGACCGUUUCUGGUGCCGCAGGGAAGCCGUGAAGCGAGCCACCUGGGAAGUACGGUCGCAAGGCUGAAACUUAAAGGAAUUGGCGGGGGAGCAC
rnacentral:rRNA from 1 species